CCCUUAGAUGUCCGGGGCCGCACGCGCGCUACACUGAAGGAAUCAGCGUGGCUUUCUCCCUGACCCGAAAGGGUUGGGAAACCCGUUGAAUCUCCUUCGUGAUAGGGAUUGGGGCUUGAAAUUGUUCCCUAUGAACGAGGAAUUCCCAGUAAGCGCGAGUCAUAAGCUCGCGUUGAUUACGUCCCUGCCCUUUGUACACACCGCCCGUCGCUACUACCGAUUGAACGGUUUAGUGAGGGCCUCGGAUUGGUCUCGGCCCGCUCUUUACCGGGCGGCGCCGUUGGUCGAGAAGACGCUCGAACUUGAUCGUUUAGAGGAAGUAAAAGUCGUAACA
rnacentral:rRNA from 1 species